GACGAACGCUGGCGGCGUGCUUAACACAUGCAAGUCGAACGGAAAGGCCCUGCUUUUGUGGGGUGCUCGAGGGGCGAACGGGUGAGUAACACGUGAGUAACCUGCCCUUGACUUGGGGAUAACUUCAGGAAACUGGGGCUUAUACCGGAUAGGAGCUCCUUGUGCAUGGUGGGGGUUGGAAAGUUUCGGCGGUUGGGGAUGGACUCGGGGCUUAUCAGCUUGUUGGUGGGGUAGUGGCUUACCAAGGCUUUGACGGGUAGCCGGCCUGAGAGGGUGACCGGCCACAUUGGGACUGAGAUACGGCCCAGCCUCCUACGGGAGGCAGCAGUGGGGAAUAUUGCACAAUGGGCGGAAGCCUGAUGCAGCAACGCCGCGUGCGGGAUGCCGGCCUUCGGGUUGUAAACCGCUUUCGCCUGUGACGAAGCGUGAGUGACGGUAAUGGGUAAAGAAGCACCGGCUAACUACGUG
rnacentral:rRNA from 1 species